AGAAGCACUGCCAACAACAAUGGCAUUGGAAUUUGGGUUUGCGUUCGUCGUGCGCAGGGAAGGUUGUGGAAGGUGAGCUGGACCAAUCCGAUCAAAGACGCCUUGAUGAUCAGCUGGACCAUCAGUACGAGGGACGAUUGUUCCUGGGAUAGGCGCUCAUGAUCUCGACGAAGCGGUUACAGCAGAGAGUGGCGUCGGAGAUCGGCCAGUGCAAUGGGGGACACAAUUAUGGCCUUCUGCCUGGAGCAGAUAACAUCAUCGGACAGCUCGAUGAUUUCUUUGACGAGAUUAUUGAAGGAAGGAAUAAACGUUUGGACUUGUGUAGCCAAAGGUGAAGAGUGAACGAUCAGCGAAAAAAAAGUUGAAUAGGUGUAGAGGAAUCGGUAGGGCUUGCCGUAUCUUCCAUCGGAGACAUGACUCUAGCCCUCUUCGUGGACUCGAGAGAGAUGGAGGGGGGAAUCACGUGGCAUGGCUCUUCUAGCUCGGGUGGUAAAAGUAUGCAUCUUCUAUCAUGGAAGAAAUUAUGCUACAGCAUUAAGGAAGGAGGUAUUGAAUUUUGGCCUUUUCAUGAAAUGAAUAAAGCUUUACUUGCAAAACAGGCAUGGAGGAUGAUUGAAGCUGAUGAUAAUUCCUUAAUUGGAAGAACUCUUAAAAUCAAAUACUAGAGGCCAAUCCUGGAAGGCAACAACAAAGCAAAGGUUGGUUACUCUUGGAUUUUGAAGGAUGUGCUUAAAGUAUCAUCUCUAGUUGCAGACAACCUGAAAUGGCAGGAGAAAAAUCAAUGCAGAGGAAGUCUCAUCAAAGGAAGUUAGAGCCAGAAUCAAUUGGCAUUUUGCUACCAUUAAUUUGGCGAUAUCUAAUCAUUUGGUAAAGUAUGUGCCUCAAGAAUCAUUGCCAUGGAAUUUCCAGUAUCUCUUCAUUGAUGUUAAUGGAAGCCAUGGAAGAAGCAGACACCAACUCAGGGCAAGUAAAGUACUAAUUUUCACAUAAUUCUCUUACAUCAAUGGAAGAAGAAAUAAAGCUUCCCAAGGUGAUUGUCAAAAACAAUUUGCUUUAAAAGAAAUGAGAUCAGCUCUCAAAUGGAUUA